rnacentral:tRNA from 1 species
GCCUGGGUGGCUCAACCGGUUGAGCGUCUGACUUUAGCUCAGGUCAUGAUCUCACGGUCUAUGAGUUCGAACCCUGUGUCGGGCU